CAGAAUUUCCUCCCACUAUUUGGUAAUGUUGACAAUUUAAAAUCGUAACUUUGAUGAUGACAUUUUAACCUUAAUCGAAUCAAUUUUGUUUAUUGUUACACUUUAAUUGAUGGAAAAUUUUGUUUACUUCAUUAUGUUGAUAAAUUUACUACUCAUUUUGUUAGGAAUAAACUAACAAUUAGAUAUGUAAGAGUUUCUACUUUUACUUGUGUUGUUUUUGUUUGACAUUCGAUUGGGGAGACGAAAUAAGGGGAAACCAAUCAGCUGUUUUCUUUUUCUUGUUUUCAUUUUUCUGCUCUGUCUCUUUUUCCUUUUCUCUUACUUUUUACUUCUUAUACUUUCUUUGUUUCUCUUAUUUUUUUCUGUCUUUUUAUCAAUUUACUUGAUCGAGAUGAAGAGUGAGAGAAAGAGAUGAAAAGUUCCAACUCUGUUUCUCUUUCUUUUCUUUGAUUUCAUGUUUCUUUCUUUCUUUGUCCAGUUUUUUUUAUUUAAUUUCUCUUUCUCUUUCUCUCUCUCUUUCUUUCAUUCUUUCUUUCCUUCCAUGAAUGUCCAUAAGCUUUUUUUCUGCUUCAACAUUUCUCUCCCUUUCUCUCUCCUUCUCUCACCUUUUCCUCUCUCUUCUAAUUUUAUUUCUUUGUUUAUGAUUUCACGGAAGAGGAUCUUUUGGUCAGGUGAUCAUUGAACUCCCAAAAAAUGGUUAAGCUUUGAUGGUUUGGCUCCUUUUUUUGUUUCGUUUCAAGGUGGAGUCCGAGUUCACCAUCAUCAUCAUCGCCAUAAUCACCUCAUUAUUUAACUAUCAUUAUGAUUAUCACUCACCUGACUAACCUUAGUUAUCACGGCAAAUAUAAUUUUAACUUUUCUCUCUCUCUCUCUCUCUUUCUCACCUUUUGUUUUCAUUCAUUUUCAACGUAAUAAUAUUACACUGAACUGAUUGUCGUUCUUAUUUUUCCUUCUCUCUCUCCAAUUUCUCAUUUUCCAGUUUCUCUAUUUAUACAAAAACACCCAAUGAUGUCAACUCUCAUGGAAGGAAUAAAAAACUGAAACUUGUAACCAGAUUAAUAAGCUACUUUAACCCUGUUACUUUAAGAUUAUCUUAAAUUUCAUGUAAUCAAAAUGAAGAAACUCCUACGGAACCAUUAACGAGAAGGAGGACAAAGAAAAGAGGAAAACCAAGAAGAUGAAAAGAAAGAGAAGAUAAAAGGAAAAGAUGAUAAAAGCUGAAAUUCAAGUUUCUUCAUAAUCAUUAACGCAAAUUACUGUUGCUACGAGUGCGAAUUCUGCCAAGAGAAGCUUUUUCUUUCUAUUAACCAGAA